rnacentral:lncRNA from 1 species
GUAAGAAGGGCCACCUCACUCCAGGCCAAACCUGUGAAGAAAAAUAUCUGCAGCAUGCACUGCCCAUAUGAAAUGUAGCCACUUCGUGCCAGGGAACUGUCAACAUACUGGGGGACUGUGACAGAGAGGGAUGAGAGAUCCAGAAUGGAAAGGUGCUUCAGAAAGUAAUACAUUGGAGACUGGAGCUGUGGGUCCAGUGUUGUGAUGGUGAUAAUGAUGAAGUUCCCUGCUGAGCCCAAUAGGUAUGUCAGCAAAAACAGCAAAGCCUGUAAGAUCUGCAGCUCAUGGUUGUCAGAGAACCCCAUGAGGAGGAAUCCACUCAUUGUUGUCAUGUUUCUUGGAGUCAUUUUGCAAAUAAGUUUGUGGUAACAACUGAAAAAUAAAAAUUUUGUGAAAUGU